AUGCGCGUGCCCUACUCCCACCUUCCAGGGGACCGCAGCGCGCUUCUAGGCGGGCGUGGGGGGCGCCUGAUGUCUCCGUUCUGUUUUACAGCUACUCCCCUGCAGGCGCCUCCCACCUCGGCGCCGUCUUCUCCGGCACGAACUCGCCAUCGGCACCUGCUCGUAGGAGGGCGCGCGGGUGGAAAGAUCUUCCCGUGCAGUGUGAUGGGACAGCCUCUUUUCAGCAUCUCUGAAGAUGGAGACAGAGAGGAGCUGUGGGUCUUGCCAAGGUCACAGGAUUGGAGUCCAGAGCCACGUCACUCCCGGACAUGGGAGGUCAUCAGCAGGGGAAAAGCCAAGCAGAAGGGGAAGAUGCAGGAUCCGCCUUCCCAAGGCAGCAGCAGUCAGGGGCCAGGAUGGAUGAGGCGGCCGUGGGCAGAGACGCGAGCUCCUCCUCUCCCAUCCCUGCCCAUCUGGGACUUUGCAAAGGACCUGGGGAGACAUACCCUGACCAUCCCACAGGGUGGGGCCUUGGCCUUUGGCCUGUGGGCUCCUGUCUUUGCUGUGGUCACACCGGGUGCCUGUUCAGGUCUGAGGGCCUCUGCCCAUGCCUCCAGCUCUCUGCCAUCCUUAUUUCCACCCCAGAGGGGCAAGGGCAGCGUGCUGGGAGGUUGCCAAAGCUAGGGGCUCCAGCCUUCUAGGAGUUAACGACUCCCUCUCCCCAGCUGUCCUCCCCUUGGUGCUCCUCUUCCUCCCUCCUCCUGCUCACAGCAGGCAGGGCCUGGACCUGGGAGCCACGCCGCUGUGCUGUUGCCACGGGAGCCGGGAGGCAGACCUGAGCUAUGCAGGGGAAAGGCCCGGCCUGUCAAAGUGUCUGAGAUGAACCGUCGCCGUCCCUGUGCAGCUGGGCUCAGACGUGUCUCGGCUCUUGUUCUGUGCCUGAGAAUGGCGAAGCCCAGUGAGGUUCAAGGGCAAACUCACUAUUCAUUAGUCAGGGGUUCUUGACGUCCCGUCUCUCCCAGGGAUGGGAUCCCCCACGCCUCUUUCUCUCCCUCCUGUAACACAUUCCUGGGUGCCUUUGGUGAGGACUACACCCUCUGCCUCUGCCCAACCUUUUCUCCAGAGGCCCCUAAAUAAACUCCCCCCAAGGAGACCAGGCAGGGCAGAGACAGUGGCCACAGGAAACCAGGCAGGACUCUAGCCAUGCCAGCCUGCCCUCCCCCCAGCACCCUGUGGGCCCCAUUCCCCUCUGACUCAGGGUACCCCUGGGCCACCGGCACGCACAGGCCCGGACAGGAGGAAGCCACUGGCUGCUGCCCCGGGGACAACAGGCCCAUUCUCUGAGGGCUCCUAAGUUGGCCUGCACAGCCUGAAUUUCACAGCUGUCUCUUCUGGUGCCUUUCUCUACCAUCACGUGUCUGUUUUAAGACACUCCAAUACUGUUGGCUGGAGAAUGUCAAUCGUAUAUUCUGUAAUGUGGCUGUAUCAGAAUGUAAAAGACAUACAGACUUAGUCACAAACUACACCGUUAGGAAUUUACUCUUAUGGUUCUAUAUGUAAAAUUUCCAAAAAAAAAUGUGUACAAGGAUGUUUGUCAGAGCAUUUUCUUUUUAAGAAUGUAAGAACAUGGAAAUGAACCUAUGGUCUGAUCAUAUGGUGGAAUAUUAUACAGCUCCAAAAAGCACUGUGGUAGGUCUCUCUGUGCUGAUAUGGAAGGUUGGCCAGUAUAUAUUGAUGCAUGAAGAGAAUAAACUGCAGAACAGGCCACAGAGUAUGAUUUUAUUUACAUGUAUUUAAAGGUGGCUCUGCCUUGGGCUCAGGCCAUGAUCCCAGAGUCCUGGGAUAGAGCCCCCACAUCAAGCUCCCUGCUCAGUGGGGAGCCUGCUUCCCCCUCUCUCUGCCUGCCUGUCUGCCUACUUGUGAUUUCUCUCUCUGUGUCAAAUAAAUAAAUAAAACCUUAAAAAAAAAAAGUCAGUCCUAAUUAUGCUUGUAUCUGAGGAGUUUCUGGAAACUUCGAGUUGGAAGAUGGAUAGAUGCCUUCUUCUGGACUGUUACUUGUUCCUUCCAUGCCUAUGGAAUGUUUUCAUUGAAAAAUUUAAAGACACUAUUUAAUAUAAUGGGCUUAACUUCUUUUUGGGGGGGGGCGCUUAACUUCUUUUAACCAACUUAGGAUAAGAGCUCCAGGAGGAUGCUGGUGGUGUUGCAGGGAAAAAAAUCCCAGAAACUCUGCCAUUGGCUGUUUUCAGGCCUAAGAAGCACACAUCGUCGUUGUCAUGUCUACUGCGGUUAAUUAAAAGCUUUACUAAGUGCCAG
rnacentral:lncRNA from 1 species